CAGGACUUAGCUCGCUUUGUGA
rnacentral:miRNA from 1 species